UGUGAAAUUGCUGAGCUAUGUGGCAAGUGCGUGUUUAAUUUUAUAAGAAGCUUCAAAACCACUUUUUAAAGUAGUCGUAACAUUUUGCAUUCUUACCAGCAAU
rnacentral:pre_miRNA from 1 species